GAUGAACGCUGGCGGCGUGCCUAAUACAUGCAAGUCGAGCGAACGGACGAGAAGCUUGCUUCUCUGAUGUUAGCGGCUGACGGGUGAGUAACACGUGGAUAACCUACCUAUAAGACUGGGAUAACUUCGGGAAACCGGAGCUAAUACCGGAUAAUAUUUUGAACCGCAUGGUUCAAAAGUGAAAGACGGUCUUUCUGUCUCUUAUAGAUGGUUCCGCGCUGCAUUAGCUAGUUGGUAAGGUAACGGCUUACCAAGGCAACGAUGCAUAGCCGACCUGAGAGGGUGAUAGGCCACACUGGAACUGAGACACGGUCCAGACUACUACGGGAGGCAGCAGUAGGGAAUCUUCCGCAAUGGGCGAAAGCCUGACGGAGCAACGCCGCGUGAGUGAUGAAGGUCUUCGGAUCGUAAAACUCUGUUAUUAGGGAAGAACAUAUGUGUAAGUAACUGUGCACAUAUUGACGGUACCUAAUCAGAAAGCAACGGCUAACUACGUG
rnacentral:rRNA from 1 species